rnacentral:rRNA from 1 species
UCCGUAGGUGAACCUGCGGUUGGAUCAUUAAUGAAAUGUUUCUAACACGGGGGUUGAAGGUCUUCGGGCCCUCUUCCCUCUUACACACCUGGGUCGCAGCGGAAACGCUCGGCCCAACCAUACACACAAAGACCUUCUUGAAAGGACAUGCACCAAAGGGGUAACCCUGAGGGACAUUGACUAUUAAAAGAAAAACAACUUUUGACAACGGAUCUCUUGGCUCUCGCAACGAUGAAGAACGCAGCGAAUUGCGAUAAGUAGUGUGAAUUGCAGAAUUUCGUGAAUCAUCGAAUCUUUGAACGCACAUUGCGCUCCCUGGUAUUCCGGGGAGCAUGCCUGUUUGAGAAUCGAUUUAACCCUCACACCCUCUGGGGCAACCCAAGGGCGUGGACUUGAGUCGCUUGGCUUCGGUCAACGACUUCAAAUUCAUGGACCACGGACCCCGUGUUCGAUAGCGAUAUUGGUAUGCUUUGCAUAUUGCCGCUGGCUGAACGCGAGGACACCAGUCCAUCGACUCAAACUUUGGUUUUCGGACCAUAGACCACCGUCAGUGCUUUCGGGCCUGAUCAUUUACGGUCUCAAAUCAGGCAAGACUACCGGCUGGAACUUAAGGCAUAUCAAUAAGGCGGGAGGGAAGUCGACUGGCCAAGGGGCACACAGGGGGGGGAUA